rnacentral:rRNA from 1 species
AGAACGAACACUGGCGGCAGGCUUAACACAUGCAAGUCGAGCGCUGUAGCAAUACAGAGCGGCGCACGGGUGGGUAACACGUGGGAACAUGCCUUUCGGUUCGGAAUAACUCAGGGAAACUUGUGCUAAUACCGGAUACGCCCUUACGGGGAAAGAUUUAUUGCCGAAAGAGUGGCCCGCGUUGGAUUAGCUAGUUGGCGGGGUAAAAGCCCACCAAGGCGACGAUCCAUAGCUGGUCUGAGAGGACGACCAGCCACACUGGGACUGAGACACGGCCCAGACUCCUACGGGAGGCAGCAGUGGGGAAUCUUGGACAAUGGGGGAAACCCUGAUCCAGCCAUGCCGCGUGAGUGAUGAAGGCCCUAGGGUUGUAAAACUCGUUUCGGCGGGGACGAUAAUGACGGUACCCGCAGAAGAAGCUCCGGCUAACUUCGUGCCAGCAGCCGC